AUUGAACGCUGGCGGCAGGCCUAACACAUGCAAGUCGAACGGUAACAGGAAGCAGCUUGCUGCUUUGCUGACGAGUGGCGGACGGGUGAGUAAUGUCUGGGAAACUGCCUGAUGGAGGGGGAUAACUACUGGAAACGGUAGCUAAUACCGCAUAACGUCGCAAGACCAAAGAGGGGGACCUUAGGGCCUCUUGCCAUCGGAUGUGCCCAGAUGGGAUUAGCUAGUAGGUGGGGUAACGGCUCACCUAGGCGACGAUCCCUAGCUGGUCUGAGAGGAUGACCAGCCACACUGGAACUGAGACACGGUCCAGACUCCUACGGGAGGCAGCAGUGGGGAAUAUUGCACAAUGGGCGCAAGCCUGAUGCAGCCAUGCCGCGUGUAUGAAGGAGGCCUUCGGGUUGUAAAGUACUUUCAGCGGGGAGGAAGGGAGUAAAGUUAAUACCUUUGCUCAUUGACGUUACCCGCAGAAGAAGCACCGGCUAACUCCGUG
rnacentral:rRNA from 1 species